UAGGGCUACACUCUAUUGGCAUGCAACUUGAUCAAAUAUUUGAGCUGAAAUGCCAAAGGAGAGUUGCCCUA